AGUGAGCGCUGGCGGUAGGCCUAACACAUGCAAGUCGAACGGCAGCACAGUAAGAGCUUGCUCUUACGGGUGGCGAGUGGCGGACGGGUGAGGAAUACAUCGGAAUCUACUUUUUCGUGGGGGAUAACGUAGGGAAACUUACGCUAAUACCGCAUACGACCUACGGGUGAAAGCAGGGGAUCUUCGGACCUUGCGCGAUUGAAUGAGCCGAUGUCGGAUUAGCUAGUUGGCGGGGUAAAGGCCCACCAAGGCGACGAUCCGUAGCUGGUCUGAGAGGAUGAUCAGCCACACUGGAACUGAGACACGGUCCAGACUCCUACGGGAGGCGGCAGUGGGGAAUAUUGGACAAUGGGCGCAAGCCUGAUCCAGCCAUACCGCGUGGGUGAAGAAGGCCUUCGGGUUGUAAAGCCCUUUUGUUGGGAAAGAAAAGCAGCAGGUUAAUACCCCGCUGUUCUGACGGUACCCAAAGAAUAAGCACCGGCUAACUUCGUG
rnacentral:rRNA from 1 species